UAUACUAAUUAAUAAAUAGUUAUUUAUUUCAAAUUUUUUAAAGAGCUGAAGUAUUAGCAUUUCUUUGUGUUUCCCUGCGUCUUAGGCAAAAUAUGCAAUUUUUUGCCACAAAGUGGGAAAAAACACAGGGCUGUUUAUUUUUAGCGCAGGGAAAUUUGAUGAUUGUAGACGCAGAAAAUAUCAGAUAACAAAAGGCAGUAAUAAAAUGUGUUUUUAAAAUACAUUCAAAUAAUAAAUUAUAUGCUGGCACUUCAUUGGCAAAUAAGAUGAACACAGAGUGCGUGUUAUAUAAUGAGCGCCACAUCCUCUUGCCUUUCCUCUCCCUGCCGCAGGGGGGCACUGUCGCUCAUAGCGCCUGUUCCGGUGGGAUCGCAAGAAGAAAUACAGGCUAAUAGAUAAAUACGUCUCACAUCUUGGAAAAAUACGAGACGCAGGUGAAAAAACGGAAAGCUCAAAUGAGGUGGACAUACAUUCCGAGGACAACGUGGAGGCGGGGGAAGACGGCGGGCAACACGGAAGACCUGUUAACUGUGAAAGUGUUGAUGCUAGCCAAGCUAGCUCAGGUGAAGCUAACCUGGUCCGCUGGGCGGCAAUUAGCUCACCUGUGGACACCUGCGUGAGCGCUCCUGUUCCGAACUGAGAAGAAGAAGAAGAAGAAGAAGAAGAAGAAGAAAAAAGACACAAACACAAACCAACAGAUACUUUUACUGUGUGAAAAAAAGAAGAAGAAAGGAUUGAAUGUGCCCUGGUGGCACUGGUGGACCAGAGGAAGACCCAGAACAAACACCUGGUUUCAAGAUUUUCUCCCAAGGAGCUGGGAUAGCGAGUCGAGGAGUCAUCAGUGUCAAACUUAACAUGAGGAUCAUCCAUCAUGCUGCCUCCUGACUAAUGCCGGUCACCGAGGAGGAAUCUAUUGCAGUGACUCGCCGUGGCGACAAUUCGAUGAACAGGAGGCUGGUUUAUGAUUGAUAGACCGGCGUCUGAGGCUAUCACUUCUCUUCCCCAUCCCGUCUCCCAGCAGACUUACCUCGACCCAAGACGGGACCUAUUCCAAAUGAAAGAUUGAGAAGUCGUCCUCAGUUAGAAUUCCUCUCCC